rnacentral:lncRNA from 1 species
AACCCCCCAAAUUCCUUAAGGAUUCUCUCCACAGGUCCCCAAAUCCCUCAGGAAUUCUCCCCAAGCAGGAAAAUUCCCCCAAAUUCCUGAAGGAUUCUCUCCAAACACCAAAAGUCCCCCAAAUUCCUGAAGGAUUCUCUCUGAACACCAAAAAUCCCCCAAAUCCCUCAGGAAUUCUCCCCAAGCAGGAAAACUCCCCCAAAUUCUUGAAGGAUUCUCUCCAAACACCAAAAUUCCCCCAAAUUCCUGAAGGAUUCUCUCCACAAGUCCCCGAAUCCUUCAGGAAUUCUCCCCAAACACCAAAAAUUCACCAAAUCCUUCAGGAACUCCCCCAUCCUGGGGCAGGAACCCCCGGAGCAGCACCAGGACCCUCCAAAGCCACCAAAUGUCCCCGGGCCAGCGCUGCUGAGAGCUGGGGGUGAGAUCUGGGACAAACCCUGUGGGGCUCCUGUGGGAUCAGCACAAACCCUGUGGGGCCCCUGUGGAUCAGCACAAACCCUGUGGGGCCCCAGUGGAUCAGCACAAACCCUGUGGGUUCCUGUGGGAUCAGCAGCUCCCAGGUGAUCCAGCACAAACCCUGUGGGGCCCCGGUGGAUCAGCACAAACCCCGUGGGGCCCCUGUGGGAUCAGCAGCUCCCAGGGGAUCCAGCACAAACCCCGUGGGGCCCCUGUGGGAUCCAGCACAAACCCUGUGGGUUCCUGUGGGAUCAGCAGCUCCCAGGGGAUCCAGCACAAACCCCGUGGGGCCCCCGUGGGAUCNUGGCUCCCAGCCUUGCUCUGCUCCUGGAUCCAGAGAAACAAUUCCCAGCUCUGUCCCUGCAGCAUUCCCAGGAAUCCGGGGCCAGGAAUUCCCGCUCCAGGAACGGUUCCCAAACUUUUCUCCUCCUGGCUCCAGAGAAGAUUUCCCUGAGCUCAGCUCUGUCCCUGCAGCAUUCCCGGGAAUUCCCGCUCCAGGCUGGCGCAGGGAAUUCCAGGUGCUCAGCUCCAUCAGGGAACGGCUCCCAGCCUUGUUCUCCUCCCAGCUCCAGAUAAAGAAUUCCCAGCUUUCCCGGAAUUCCAGCCCCACGUACCCAGCUCCCUCAGGGAACGGCUCCCGGCCUUUUCUCCCCCAGAUAAGCAAUUCCCAGCUCUCUGUCCCUGCAGCAUUCCCGGGAUUCCCGGUGCCCCAGCAGGGAACGGUUCCCAGGCUUUCCCCUCCUGGCUGGGGUUGGCUCUGCAGUUCCCAGGAUGACAAAUUCCAAUGGGAAUUCCAGAGGCUGUGCUGGCUCCUGGCAGGAAGGGGCUGGUGAGUCACAGAGCAACCUGGAGCUGACUCUGGCAUGGAUUUGAUUUUAUUUUAUUUUAUUUUAUUCUAUUCUAUUCUAUUCUAUUCUAUUCUAUUCUAUUCUAUUCUAUUCUAUUCUAUUCUAUUUUUCUAUUUUAUUCUAUUCUGAUGCUUUAUUUUAUUUUAUUCUAUUUUAUUUUUCUAUUUUAUUCUAUUUUAAUAUUUUAUUUUAUUUUAUUUUAUUUUUAAAUUUAUUUUUAAAUUUUCUUUU